GGGGUAUACUCAGAGCAGGAGGCGUGAAGAAUGGCUCCUCUAUUUACAACAUUUCCAACCAGAAUCUGGGUUUACUCCUUUCAGGAGCAGUGCACAUUGGCCUUCCUCUGCCACCAGGCCCUAUAUCU